rnacentral:rRNA from 1 species
GACAGAGGGUGCAAACGUUGUUCGGAAUUACUGGGCGUAAAGCGCGUGUAGGCUGCUCGGAAAGUCGGAUGUGAAAGCCCUGGGCUCAACCUAGGAAGUGCAUUCGAAACUUCUGAGCUGGAGUGCUGGAGAGGAAGGCGGAAUUCUCGGUGUAGAGGUGAAAUUCGUAGAUAUCGAGAGGAACACCGGUGGCGAAGGCGGCCUUCUGGACAGUAACUGACGCUGAGACGCGAAAGCGUGGGGAGCAAACAGG